rnacentral:rRNA from 1 species
AUUGAACGCUGGCGGCAUGCCUUACACAUGCAAGUCGAACGGCAGCACGGGAGCAAUCCUGGUGGCGAGUGGCGAACGGGUGAGUAAUAUAUCGGAACGUGCCCAGUAGUGGGGGAUAACUGCUCGAAAGAGCAGCUAAUACCGCAUACGACCUGAGGGUGAAAGGGGGGGAUCGCAAGAACUAUCGCUAUUGGAGCGGCCGAUAUCAGAUUAGCUAGUUGGUGGGGUAAAGGCCUACCAAGGCAACGAUCUGUAGUUGGUCUGAGAGGACGACCAGCCACACUGGGACUGAGACACGGCCCAGACUCCUACGGGAGGCAGCAGUGGGGAAUUUUGGACAAUAGGCGCAAGCCUGAUCCAGCAAUGCCGCGUGCAGGAAGAAGGCCUUCGGGUUGUAAACUGCUUUUGUCAGGGAAGAAAUCCUCUAGGUUAAUACCCUUGGGGGGAUGACGGUACCUGAAGAAUAAGCACCGGCUAACUACGUGCCAGCCGCCGCAGUAAUAC